GACGAACGCUGGCGGCAUGCCUAACACAUGCAAGUCGAGCGAGUGGAGUUCUUCGGAACAAAGCUAGCGGCGGACGGGUGGGUAACACGUGGGCAACCCGCCUCAUAGAGGGGAAUAGCCUUCCGAAAGGGAGAUUAAUACCGCAUAAGAAUGUAGCUUCGCAUGAAGUAGCAAGUAAAGGAGUAAUUCGCUAUGAGAUGGGCCCGCGGCGCAUUAGCUAGUUGGGGAGGUAACGGCUCACCAAGGCGACGAUGCGUAGCCGACCUGAGAGGGUGAUCGGCCACAUUGGGACUGAGACACGGCCCAGACUCCUACGGGAGGCAGCAGUGGGGAAUAUUGCACAAUGGGGGAAACCCUGAUGCAGCAAUGCCGCGUGAGUGAUGACGGCCUUCGGGUUGUAAAGCUCUGUCUUCAGGGACGAUAAUGACGGUACCUGAGGAGGAAGCCACGGCUAACUACGUGCCAGCCGCCGCAGUAA
rnacentral:rRNA from 1 species